AAUGAAGGUGUGUGGGAGCAAAGCAAUGACACAAGUGGUGGUAAGUGAGGAAGAUGGAGCAGAAGAUGAAAUUGUUUUCAGCAAAUUGAAGACAUUGUCUCUGCUUGAUUUAGAUAGCCUCACAAGUUUCUACUCUGGCAAUUACACCUUCAAAUUCCCAUCUCUACAAGAUUUAGAAGUGAUUGGUUGUCCCAAGAUGAAGAUUUUCACCACAGGAGAAUUAUGCACACCGCCGAGAGUAAAUGUCUGGUAUGGAGAGGGAGAUGGUGAAUGUCGUUGGGCUAAUGACCUUAACGUUACGAUACAAGAGUUGCAUGCUGAAAAGGUACGGUUAACCCACCAACUUAACUCCCAAGGAAAAAUUUUACAAAUUUGCACUUUUUAACAAAAUUUAGAAAAUAGAUCAUGGACAACCAAGUUUGACUCAUUAGAAUAUUUAUUAUUGAGUAAGUGCAUGAUCGGGUUUGAAAAAGUAUGAGACACUUCUGUAUGUAGUUCUUGAAACUGUCCAAUUUAAAACAGACAUAUUCAAUUCUCAAAAAAUCAUGAAUCAUUAGUUUUAACUUCAUAAUAUAAAAGUCGUGUCAAAUUAAUGAAUGAGAAUUUUGUUUUCAGAUGUUGGAGGGGUCGUCAUCUAACUUGAGGAAGUACGAUUGGUGAUCAUGUUGGCUUUUUAAUUUAUUACUUGGAGUUGUGAAUUUGAAGAAUAAAGUCCCAGGUAAAUAAUUUAAUUUCCCUUAUUUGAUCUCAUAGCUUGUUUCAUCGGUUCACCUGAACUAUUUAGAUUGCGUCACUGGUUUAUUGUUAACUUUAAAAUGAAGUUUUAAUGUUUCAUUCGGGGCUUUAUGAGCAAAUUUUACAUCAUUGAAUGUCCUUUGGUCUGAACUUUUGAGCUUUUUGUUUGAUAGUCAAGGCUUUAUAGUAUGCUAUUUAUAAUUCCUUAAGAAUGUGCAAAAUUUUUUAUGAUAAAAUUGCUUGAAUAUGUCAUUGAAAGGAACUUCUAUGUUGCUCUUUAUGAUUACAGAGUUCUCAAUGUUAUCACUCUUCUUUUGCAGGAUGUGGAAUCAAAGAUACUUUUCUAUGAAAUUUGUGUUCCUUGUAUUAAAAGUUUACAUGCUGAAGGGCUUCCUGUGUUAUCUUUGCUGUUCUACUUGUGCUUUACUUCAUUGUGUCGCUACAGCUUUGUGAGUGUUAUGUUAACUAUUGUUUCCUUCAUUUGGGCAUUGUAAGUUUCGAAGGCGCUACAUUGCUUGACUAAAGAUGCUUAAAUUUAUCAUCUGUUUGUACCCCUUGUAUUAUAUACAAUAAAUUUUUGAUGUAUUUUGACAUUUAAUACGAGAUAUGUUUGAAUUUUCAUUGAAAGGUUUCAUAAUUGUUCAAAUUUAUCUUCAGUUUUAUUUUUGUUAUCUUGUUGGAACCAAAUUGACAACCAAGAUCAAUUUGGAACACCCAAGAUCCACUCUAAGAAACUUGAUCUUAACUAGGUCUGAUACUAGACUGAGUUUAAGAAGAAAUUUGCCUAGGUAAGUGGAAUCAAACACAACUCAAGGAACAAAAGCAGAAAAGAAAGAAAACAGAUCUCACACACAGCACCAAGAUUUAUAGUGGUUCGGCCAUUUUCUUGCCUAUAUCCACUGUGAAAAGAGAAGCAAGCUUUCACUGAUUUCAGAGAUUACAAGUCACAGAGAUGAAGAGUAUGUGUAACAGAAUCGAAACCCCUCAGUAACAGAUCAUAGAGCCUUUUACAUUUCAAUCAAAACCCUCUAAAAGGACCCCAAACAAUCAGCUCACGCUCCUGGGUUUCUCAGCUAAGCAAUCCCAGCUGCAUCUGCAUCCCGCGUGAAUUAACUGAAUUAACAGCUUCUGGAACUGCUCAGGGACACUUGUCAAAUGCUCGUAUAAUUUGCUACUUCAAAAACCGACAUGACAUCACUUCCUUCCCCAAGCAUCAGACACGUCAUACACAUUCCCGAAUCCAGAUUUGAGCUUCCCCUCUUCAGCAUAUCUCAAAUACAUGUUAGGCCUUGCAUGCAUAGACGCACGUAAUAUCCCAGAAGAGUUUUAUCAGAUGAUUUUACUAUCAUCGUUGUUGUUGCUGCUCCCGCCGCCGCCAUUAUUACUAUUAUUAUACUACUACUUGAAAAUUUCAAGUAUUUUAGAUGAGAAAUUUAUUAUGUUAGAGAUAUUCAUAAUAUACAUGAUGCUGAAAUCAGGGAAUUUGUUGUCUCAGUUUGUUUUAUUUUUGUUUGCCUCGAAUCAAAUUUUGAAAUUUAAGAACUAUGGUAAGAGAUGGAACAAGAGGAGUUAAAAAAUUUGCCAAAAUUGAUGUAGCAAUGAAACAAUUGUAUCCUAACAUGUUUAGCAUCAUUCUACUUUAUGAUCAUUGUUGUUCCGUUAUUUUAGUUCUUGCUCUGUUUGUUCUGUUUCUCUGUUUAUUUCACUGGGGGUUUGCUUCACAAAAUCUUACUUUCAAAAUUUAGAAGGCAAGGAAAGAGCGCUUCGAAAAUGCAAGAGGUAUCAAAUCAUGCAUUAAAAAACUUGUUGGCUGCUGGCUGGUCUAUUUCAUUGGCACCGAUCGAAUCAUUAUCCCUAAAAUAAUUAGGAGUCGGAGAUAUAAGUGUGAAAAUAACAGGAUCAUUUACAACAUGGAAAUCAGUCGCCAUUGGUAGGUGGCGCUGCAUAUGAUAAUAACAACUGAUUGAUACCAACAAAGUGUUGGCUCCACUGGUAAUGGAGUCCCCUUAAGUGGCUUGACUGGAUUUGCUCCCCAGUUCGAGUCGCAGGGAAGUCGCCUUUGUUGGGAGAAUCUGUGCCUCCCGGUUCGAGCGGAGACUUCUAGUCUGGGUUGUGGUACGGGCUUAAAGGUGCCUCCCACAGUUGGGGCCCUCCCCAGGAUACCUCGUGAUUAAUAUAAAAAAAAAAAAACAACUGAUUGAUGAAAUUAAUGCCAUCAAUCUGCCUGUUAAUGUUGUUGACGCGUGUCAAAUUUUCAUGCAUAUUAGAAUUUAUUAGUGAGGUUGCAUUAUGGUCCAUAUCGUCAAUAACUUUAGCAGUCAAAUUUUACGCCACUGGAGUCAAAUUUUCAUGCAUAAAGCUGUUGGCUGGUCUGUUUGGCUCUACAAUGAUUUAUCUUUUCGACUUAAAAUGAUUCCAAAAAGCCAUCAGCAAUCUCUAGUGCAACUCUUCAAAAAAAAAAAUUAAAAUAAAAAUAAAAGUCUCAAAAAGUAUCAUUAAUUUAAUUCUAUUGUUUCCGGGUAAUCAGAACGUGUUUGAUAAAUAUUUAUAAGUUACAGUUUGAAAAUUAAAUAGAUUUUAUUUAACAAAAAGAUAUUGUUGACGCGUGUCAAAUUUUCAUGCAUAUUAGAAUUUAUUAGUGAGGUUGCAUUAUGGUCCAUAUCGUCAAUAACUUUAGCAGUCAAAUUUUACGCCACCGGAGUCAAGUGAUUUUUAAGCAGUUUUAUUCAACUGGUUACCUGAGUUCGAAUCUUAAAGAGAUAAAUAGUUAAAAAUGAAUUUAGACUUUGCCUACUCCUUUAAUAAAAAAAGAAGGUCAUUUAGUCUUAACUUUUGAAAUUUUUAUUUGACAUUUCGGCUUUAUAGCAUGCGAUGUAUUUUCUUAAAUUUUAUAAUUCCUUGAGAAUGUGCAAACAUUUUAUGAUAAAAUUACUUAAAAAUGUCGUUGAAACGAACUGAACUUUUUAUGUUGAAAGAAAGCCUUAUUAUUUUUCUGUACUUCUAUGUAAUGCUUUAUGGUUACAAAAUUCUCAUUGUUAUCACUCUUCUUGUGCAAGAUCUGUAAUGAAAGAUACUUUUCUGUCAAAUUUGUGUUCCUGAUAUUAAAAGUUCACAUGCUGGGGGGCUUCCUAUUUCAUCUUUGUCAUUCUACUUGUGCUUUGCUUCAUUGUGUAGCUACAGCAUUAUAAGCGUUACCAUAACUUAUCUGCAGCAAUUUUAUAAUUUACUAUUAUUGUGGUUGUUGCUGCUAUCAUUGUUCUACUAGUUGGAAAAUUCGAAUUCUUUUAGACGUGACAUUUAUCAUAUUAGAUAUUCAAGGUAUACAUACAUGCAUAUAUAUAUAUAUAUAUAUACUGGGUAUCUGUUUAGAUAUGAUGCAGAGAAAUGACAGAAGUUGUAUUAAGUGACGAAGAUUGAGCAGCAAAACAAGAGAUAGUUUUCAGCAAAUUAAAGACGUUGGCUCUGUUUGAUUUAGUUAGACUCACAAGUUUCUGCUCUGGCAAUUGCACUUUCAAAUUCCCAUCCUUGCAAGAUUUAACUGUGAUUGACUGUCCCAAGAUGAAGAAUUUUACUAGAGGAGAAUUAUGGAUGCCAUCUGGUACGGAGAGAGAGAAGAUGAAAGCCGUUGGGCUAAUGACCUUAACACAACCAUACAACAACUACAUGCAGAAACGGUAUGAUUAAUUCACUAUUCUAUCUCCAAUGGAAAAGUUUUACAAAAUUUGCAAUUUUUUAACAAAACGUAGAAAACUGAUCAUUGACAAGUUAGUUUGAUUCAUUAGAAUAUUCGCUAUUACUUUUGUAUUUAAUUCAUCAAACUGUCCUAUUUAAUAUUGACAUUUUCACAAAAGUUAGAUAAUGUUUUUCAAUUCUCACAAAUUCGUUAAUAAUUAGUUUUAAUUUCAUAAUAUGAAAAUCUUGUCAAAGAAAUUGUGUUAUUAAACUUAUUAAAUCUCUCGCUAGUGGCUUCCUUCCUAAUCUCCAUGUGCUUUAGUAUUUAUUUCCAAGUGCCUAAUUUUACAACUUUUAAUUUAGAUUAAUGAAUGACAAUUCUUAUUUUUUCAGCUGUUGGAGGGGCUUUCAUCUUAGUCGACUUUAUACAAGUAAUCUGAUCAAAUACAUUUUAGUACUUGGAUAAGAUGUGGAUUUGAAGACUAAAGAUCGCAGGUAACUAAUUUUAUUACUUAUGUACUUUUCUCAUGGUUUUGUUUCAUCGUUUCAUCUAAACUCUUUGGAAUGCAUUAAUUUUGUUUAUUGUUAAUUUGGAACGAAGUUUUAACGUAUCAUUCAGGGAUUUUGUUUGCAUCAUUGAGGGUUGUUUGGCCUUAACUUCUGAGGUUUUUGACAUUCAGCUUUAUAUUGUGCUAUUUUUUGUAAUUUUAUAACUUCUUGAAAGCAUGCAUAUAUUUUUUUUCUUAUCAUGAUGCCUCGAAAAUGUCAUUAGAAGGGACAGCAGUUUUCUUUUUCUUAUUUAUUUUCAAGUAUCUACGUUUGCGAAUUUUAGUUCAACUUGUUGAAUGGGAAUUUUGUUUUCAGCUACGUACAAGACGAUGCCGCUGCUGCUGCCAUUGUUACUGUCAUAGUUACUAUUACUCGAAAAUUUCAAGUAAUUUAGUUGUGAAAUUCAUUAUGUUAGAGAUAUUCAAAAUAUAUAUGAUGCUGAAAGAAAAGAGUGGACUUGUUGUCUCAGUUUGUCUCAUUUUGUUUUCUCCAACUCUAAUUUUCAAAUUUUAGAAAUAUGGUAAGAGAAGGAACAAAAUGAGUAAAAAAAUUGUCAAAAUAGUUGUAGCUAUGAACAAUUAUAUCCAAACACAUUUAGCAUCAAUCUACUUUGCCAAAUUUUUUAGUCAUCGUCUUUGCUCGGUUGUUUUAGUUUUUGCCCUGUUUGUUCUCUUUAUUUUGAUUGAGUUUGCUUUACAAAGUCUAUCUUUCAAAACUUAGAAGGCGAGGAAAGAGCGGGUAGGAAAUGCAAAAGGUAUCAAAUCAUGCAUAUGGUCAAAUGCUCCUGUAUAUGAACACAUAAAGAACAAUUGAAAUAUCAUUCACCGGAUAACACAAACAAAUAAAAAAAAAAAAAAAAAGAAGAAAGAGAGAAAAUCUAAUCGUCUCAUUAUCCCGAACACAAAUAAUUAAACCAUCAAAUGUUUGCAAUGAGCACAAUCAGAUCAUCUCUUUGGAAUAAUUACAUGUUGGCUUGGCCUAUUUUUUGGCCGGUAAAAAGGUUUUUGGCUGGAGCAUUUGGCCUUAACUUUUUUUUUUUUUUGAGUCUAUAUCAAUUGAUGCCACUAUGUCAAUAAUAAUUGGUAGGAAAUAAAUUAAUAUGUAACUAUAUCUUCUUAAUUAAUUAUUUGUUUUUUUAUCCAUUUACAUUGGAAAAAAGGGGUGCAGGGUCAGGAAGCUUCUUAGACGUGGCACGUUCAAAAGCUUUUUUUUUUUUUUGUCUGAACCACAUGGUCCUGAGUAGGCCCUAACUGUGGGAGAUACCUUUAAGCUCAUACCACAAUCCAAACUAAUCUCCACUCGCACCAGGUCGGCCCGUAAGGGAUAAAGUACUGGCUAAAGUGGUGACUCCAUAUAAGAGCGGGGCUUGAACCUCUGACCUCUCUUAAGAAGUGAGAGUGCCGAACCACUCUGUUCAAAAGCUUUUCUUUUUUAAAAGCUGCGUCAAGCAUGACACGUCAACAUCAUUUACAAGUGGGAACAACUCUUUUUCAUAAAAGAAAAGCCUUUUUUGUUUUAAAAUAAAGUUUUUUUGGAUGAUUCACUAUUACUAAUUGCCCAAGUCAUUCUAUUGCGAAUACAUGCAAAUUAAUAAAGAGACUUGUGGGGUUGCUGGAUAGAAAUUGUUGAAUACAUACAAAUUAUUGAACAGAAAUCCAAUAAUUGAACACCGGCCAAUUCUUGUCCAAUCAAAUUAAAACUCAAUUAAUAUAUUCCACUAAAUUUUUCGUACAACAUCCUAUUCAGAUGAAUAAAAUGUAAAAAAUAAAAUAUAUAAUUCAAAAAAUUAUAAAGGAUGCAAUUUAGCAGGUCAUACAAUAUACCAAAAAAAGUCUUGGGGGUGCAGUGGGAAUAUUUCUUGACAGAAAGAGUCUUAAAAAUUUUUUCGCCAGAAAACAUUUUCUCUCUCUGAUCUCUGUAUUCUUCAGAUCCUCCUCCUUGCUUGAACGUCUGUAACUUUGUCAUCCAUGAUUUGCAUUCAAUUCUUGACGAAAAAACCUUUUUCCGGAUUUUCAUCUUUUGAUCUCAAACAUGCUUUGCUUCUGUUGAUUGUGGUCGCUUCUAGUGCUAGUUCUCUUCUUAUAUAGCUUUGUUCCCUUUUGCCAUCAGCUCUUUGCAUUUCCUUGGAUGAAGAAACCUUUUUCUUGUUUCAAUUUUCUGAUCUCAAAAGCACUUUGAUUCUAGUCUGCCACACUGAUUUUGUCCUUGUUUUGUACAAACAUAAUUUCGCCAUUAUCUGUUUGAUUAUCAAUUGACCCGUCGUUGACUCUAUUCUAUUUCUAUGUGAAAAAUACGAAAAAAAAAAAAAAGAGAUUGAAGAUGGUGGAAAGCAUUGUUACUGUUGUUUUAGAAGUUGUGAAAUGCUUGGCUCCUCCGACACAACGCCAACUUGAUUACUUGCGAAACUACAAUGAAAACAUUCAGAAACUCGAGGCAGAAACCGAGAGCCUGAAGGUUGAAAUUAGGAGCAUUGAGCGCAGAGUUUUUGGGGCCGAAAAACAAGGAGAAAAGAGUGAAGAGAAAGUCGAGAAGUGGUUGGUUAGCGCCAACAAGAUCAUUGAUGAGGUGAAUGCCAAAUUCAUGGGAGAUGAAGAGACUGCAAAUAAGCGAUGUCUCAAGGGGCUGUGUCCUAAUUUGAAGGCUCGCUAUCAGCUUAGCAAGAAAGCAGAGACACAGGUGAAGGCCCUUGUUGAGUGCCGAGAAGAAGCCGGUCGACUUGAUAGAAUUUCCUACCUUACCUAUCCGGACAAGAUAUGGCUCAAGUCCCACAAAGGUUACGAGGCCUUUGGAUCAAGGCUUUCUACUUUGAAGUGUAUACAAAACGCUUUGACAGAUGUUAAUGUCAGCAUCGUUGGAGUGUACGGCAUGGGCGGCGUUGGAAAGACGACUCUAGCGAAGGAGAUCGUUAGGCAAGCCUUGGCAGACAAGCUCUUUGAUCAAAUAGCCUUUUCAGAGGUUUCCGAAACUGCAGACAUAAAAAAGAUUCAGCGGGAUAUUGCUGAGGACUUGGGUCUCGCAUGGCAUGAGGAAACUGAAUCUAGAACUGCGAGUAGACUGUAUGAACAGUUGAAGAAUGAGAAGAAGAUUCUUGUGGUUCUAGAUAACAUAUGGAAGCAUCUUGAUUUGGAGACUGUUGGAAUUCCUUUUGGUGAUGAUUAUAGAGGUUGUAAACUCUUGCUGAUAGCAAGAGAUCGUAAUGUUUUGUUGGAUAUGGAUUCUAAACAUAACUUCUUUAUUGACAACUUAAAUGAAGAAGAAGCUUGGAGAUUGUUUAAGACGAUGGCGGGUGAUUAUGUUGAAAAUCGUCAGCUGAAAUCUACAGCAACAGAUGUAGCCAAGGGAUGUGGAGGCUUGCCUAUUGCCUUAGCUACAACAGCAAGGGCAAUGAGAGACAAGACUGUGCAUGAAUGGAAGAAUGCCUUGCGAGAACUUCAGACGCCUUCAGUGAUGAACUUCGAAGGACUGCCGGCAGAUACUUAUGCAAGAAUCGAGCUGAGUUUCAAGUAUUUAAAAGGUGAGCAGCUCAAGAAAAUUUUUCUGCUUUGUAGUCUAAUGGGUAAUCCUAUUUUUACUUCAGACCUGUUUAAAUACUCCAUGGGUUUGGGUAUACUCCAAGGAGUCAAGAAGAUGGAAGAUGCACGAAACCAAUUAUAUGCAUUGGCCUAUAAACUUAAAGACGCUUGUUUGUUGCUUGAGGGAGGUAGCAGCGAACAAUUUUCAAUGCAUGACGUCGUUCGCGAUGUUGGCAUAUCAAUUGCUUACCGGGACCAACAUGUAUUUUUGGCAAAAAAUGAGGAUGUGUUGGAGCUGCCGGACAAGGAAGCACUUGUAAAUUGCUAUGCGAUUUCUAUAAGUGGUUGCCGUAUUCAGGAGCUUCCUCAAGGAUUGGAAUGCUUGCAACUCGAACUUUUAUAUAUAUCUCCCAAAGACUCUUACCUUCAAAUCAAUAUUCCUGAGAACAUUUUUGCAGGGAUGCGGAAGCUUAGAGUUGUAGAUUUUACUGGGAUGCAAUUAUGUUGCUUGCCAUCUUCAAUUGAUCUCUUAGUAAAUCUUCAAACACUAUGUUUGGAUCAAUGCAUGUUGAGUGACAUAGCAAUUAUUGGAAGGUUGAAGAAUCUGGAAAUCCUUAGCUUUUUAAAUUCAGAUAUUGUGCAGUUGCCUGAAGAACUAGGUGAAUUGACUAAGCUAAGGUUGUUAGAUUUAUCCAAUUGUUUCCAGCUAAAAGCUAUUGCACCCAAUGUCCUAUCAAGCUUAACUCGAUUGGAAGAACUCUACAUGAAAAAUUGCGUUAUCGAAUGGGAUGUUCAAAGACCCAAUGGUGGAAGAAGUACUGCCAGCCUUGGUGAGUUGUUGCAAUUGCCUCGACUGACCACUCUAGAAAUAGAUGUCAAAAAUGAUAGUAUUUUACCAGAAGGCUUUUUUGCAAAAAAAUUAGAAAGGUUCAAAAUAUCAAUAGGAGAUGAGUCAUUCAAGCCUCCGGUGCGUGCGGAUGAAUGGUUCGGUAGUCGGCCGGUUUUGAUCAGUGAUCCUUCGAGUCUAAGAACCAUAAAGCUGAAGCUUAGCUCAAAGCCUAUUUGCUCGAAGAAAAUGCAGGGCAUCCAGAAUGUUGAAUACUUGUGUUUGGACAAGCUGCAAGGUGUCAAGAAUGUUCUUUUAGAUAUGGACAUUGAGGGAUUUCUACAGUUGAAGCAUCUCCAUGUUCAAAAUAAUCCUGACUUCGUGUGCGUUGUUGACUCAACGGAGGGGGUACGUCGUGAUGUGUUUCCUCUUUUGGAGUCACUUACUCUUUACAAUUUGAUUAACAUGGAGAGGGUAUGUAUUGAUCGACUCAAAGUAGAGUCUUUCUGUGAACUUAAAACCAUACAGGUGGGAAAAUGUGAUGAGUUGAGUAAUAUCUUCUUGCUGUCUUCUAUAAGCUGCCUUCCCACACUUGAGAGGAUUGCAGUUUUUGAUUGCGAUAAGAUUGAAGAGGUCUUUGCAAUUGGUGGAGAACCAGAUGUCGACAACAAUAAUGCAGUGGAGAAGAUAGAGUUUGCAGCAGUAAAAUUUUUACAUCUGCAAAAUCUUCCGAAGCUUGCAAGUUUUUGCUCUGAAGUAAAGAGACCAAAUACACAAGGGUCGCAAGAGGAAUUGACAGCUACUACUUGCUCGACCGAAAUCAGUUUGUUGGAGGAGGACAAGCUUGAUACUUCGACACCGCUUUUCAACGAGAAGGUAAGCUGUUAUAAUGAAACCAAAGCAUUCGUUUUUCUUUCUCAACUUAUUCUAUCGUGCAUUUUCGUUUGAUGACAACUAUAGAAAAUGAAUUAUAAGGGAAAAAGAAAAUGAGAAUUGGAAAUUAGAAUCUCACACACUCACUCACUAAGCUCGCUUUACAUAUUAAUGAUGUGAAUUAAAUUGCAUAUUAAGUGUAUGUUUAGUAUGGUAAUAAUUCUCAAAAAAUCAUUUUUAGCACGGAUUUCUAAAAACUAUAUUUGAAAAAAGUUUAACACAAUGUUUUGUAAAUGGGUGAGCUAUUUGCACCUUAAAAAUUACUCUAAACACUCUAAUUGAAAUAAAAAUUUAUAACAAAAAUAUCUAUCAUAUGAAUUAUAUAAAGGACAAUUUAUUAUAAGUCAAUAUUACAUAAUUACUAUGAACGCCCCAUAUAACACACUCAUUAUUUAAUAUAUAUAAUUUUCAUGUUUUAAACCUUAAAACUUUUUUAUUUACAUCUUCAUCAAUACUUAGAUGAAUAAUGAUAAAAUCAAUAUUUUUCUUUUAUUUUUCCAUAAAUAAUCAAUAUCAAACGCGCACUGAAGCUGUCACUUGGAAGAUGAUUUGAUCUAACAAGAAAUUAAUGUUUAGGUUGUGUUCCCCAACUUGGAAGAUUUGGAGUUGAUUGGAAUUAAUGUCGAAAAGAUUUGGCACAAUCAACUUCCAGCCAUGUUUCCUCGCUUUCAAAGUUUAACAAAAUUAAUCGUGGGGAAGUGUCACAAAUUAAAAUGUAUAUUUUCGGCUUCUAUGCUCAGAAGCUUUGAGCACCUCCGACACCUGGAUAUAUGCAACUGUAUGGGUUUGCUUGAGAUUAUUUCCGAAGGAGCAGAUCAAGUGCCACCUUGUUUUAUCUUUCCGCGGCUGACAUUUCUAAGACUAGGUGAACUACCAGAACUUAGAUGUUUAUAUCCUGGAAUGCAUACUUCGGAAUGGCCGGCACUAAACUCGUUGAUGGUCUUUGGUUGUGACAAAAUAAAGUUAUUUGCUUCUGAGUUAUCUAGCUUCCAUGGAAACAUUGAUGAGAAUCAACUUCCUAUCCCAGCACAACAGCCUCUGUUCUUGAUCGAAAAGGUACAUAUGAAACCAUUUAUUUGAUCUUUUAUCGGUUGCAUCUUACUGUUUCUUAUGUUUUAUGUUUGGUUCUUCGAUGCAAAGAAACUCACAAACAAUAGAUUUUAGAAAUACCCGCUGUACAUGUAUGUGUUACUCAAAAUUGUUUGACAGAACAUCAAUUGAACUAAUUAGUUUUUAUGUGAGUUGAUGAUGUUCAGAUCCUCCCCAACUUGGAGAAUCUGCUAUUAAGUGGAAAGGAUUUCAGGAUGAUUUUGCAGGAAGAUUACCCACAACACCUCUUUGGCAGUCUUAAAUACAUUGAGGUUGUGGAAGAUGACUCAGCUUGUUUUCCGCUUGGUUUACUUGAGAAGUUUCGCAAUCUGGAAAUCCUCUAUCUGAGUGGUACUUCAUACACAGAGAUAUUAUCAAAUGAAGGACACUCGGAGAAGCACGUGGGCAAGUUCUCACAAGUAAAACAUUUACAGCCGUACAAACUGACUGAUCUGAAGCAGCUGUGGAAACAAGGCUCCAAACUAGACUUCAUUUUCACAAAUCUUGAAAUUCUACGAGUAUAUUGUUGUCAAAAUCUGAUUGUUCUAUUGCCAUCGUCAUCGUUAUCUUUCCGAAAUCUGACGGAUCUGCAAGUUUGGGGUUGCAAGGAAUUGAUGAAGUUGGUAACAUCCUCCACAGCAAAGAGUCUAGUGCGACUCAGGAUAAUGAAGGUAUGUGGAAGCAGAGCAAUGACACAAGUGGUAACAAGUGAGAAAGAUGGAGCAGAAGAUGAAAUUGUUUUCAGCAAUUUGAAGGCGUUGACUCUGCUUGAUUUAGAUAGUCUCACAAGUUUCUGCUCUGGCAAUCACACCUUCAAAUUCCCAUCUUUACGAGAUUUAGAAGUGAUUGGUUGUCCCAAGAUGAAGAUUUUCACCACAGGAGAAUUAUGUACACCGCCGAGAGUAAACGUGUGGUAUGGAGAGGGAGAUGGUGAAUGUCGUUGGGCUAAUGACCUUAACGUUACGAUACAAGAGUUACAUGCUGAAAAGGUACGGUUAACCCACCAACUUAACCCCCAAGGAAUUUUUUUUCAAAAUUUGCAGUUUUUUGCAAAAUUCAGAAAAUAGAUCAUCGACAACUAGAAUAUUUGUUAUUGAUUAAGCGCAUGAUCAGGUUUUAAAAAGUAUGAGACACUUUUGUACUUAAUUCUUGAAAUUGUCCAAUUUAAAACGGACAUUUUGCCAAAAGUUUGGGAAUCUUUUUCAAUUAUCAAAAAUUCAUGAAUCAUUAGUUUUAACUUCAUAAUAUAAAAGUCUUGUCAAAUUAAUGAAUGAGAAUUUUGUUUUCA
rnacentral:lncRNA from 1 species